rnacentral:rRNA from 1 species
UACAGAGGGUGCGAGCGUUGUUCGGAAUCAUUGGGCGUAAAGCGCUUGUAGGCGGCCUGUCAAGUCGCGUGUGAAAUCCCUUGGCUUAACCAAGGAAGUGCGCGCGAAACUGGCGGGCUUGAGUGCCGGAGAGGGUCGCGGAAUUCCCGGUGUAGAGGUGAAAUUCGUAGAUAUCGGGAGGAACACCAGUGGCGAAGGCGGCUAUCUGGACCGACAUUGACGCUGAUGCGCGAAAGCGUGGGGAGCAAACAGG